CACUGAAGUGUCCGCCUGAGAACUACGAGCACAAACGCUUAAAACUCUAAGGACUUGGCGGUGCCUUAAACCCACCUAGAGGAGCCUGUUCUGUAAUCGAUAACCCACGAUACACCCAACCACCCCUUGCCAGAGCAGCCUACAUACCGCCGUCGCCAGUUCACCUUCCCUGAAAGCACAACAGUGGACACAACAGCCCUAACUUCGCUAGCAAGACAGGUCAAGGUAUAGCUUAUGGGGUGGAAGAAAUGGGCUACAUUUUCUAGCAUAGAAAACUUCACGGAAGUGGGUGUGAAAUCACCCACAGAAGGCGGAUUUAGCAGUAAAG
rnacentral:rRNA from 1 species